rnacentral:tRNA from 1 species
UGGUAGAGCAACUGACUUGUAAUCAGUAGGUUGGGGGUUCAAGUCCUCUAGCCGGCACCA